GCUAAUAGAGCUUGUAAAUUGGCGUGCGGCUGAAGACCGCAUAGUCGCCGGUUCAAAUCCGGCUCCGGGCA
rnacentral:tRNA from 1 species